rnacentral:rRNA from 1 species
GAUGAGCGCUGGCGGCGUGCCUAAUACAUGCAAGUCGAGCGAACAGACGAGGAGCUUGCUCCUCUGACGUUAGCGGCGGACGGGUGAGUAACACGUGGAUAACCUACCUAUAAGACUGGGAUAACUUCGGGAAACCGGAGCUAAUACCGGAUAAUAUAUUGAACCGCAUGGUUCAAUAGUGAAAGACGGUUUUGCUGUCACUUAUAGAUGGAUCCGCGCCGCAUUAGCUAGUUGGUAAGGUAACGGCUUACCAAGGCGACGAUGCGUAGCCGACCUGAGAGGGUGAUCGGCCACACUGGAACUGAGACACGGUCCAGACUCCUACGGGAGGCAGCAGUAGGGAAUCUUGCGCAAUGGGCGAAAGCCUGACGGAGAACGCCGCGUGAGUGAUGAAGGUCUUCGGAUCGUAAAACUCUGUUAUUAGGGAAGAACAAAUGUGUAAGUAACUAUGCACGUCUUGACGGUACCUAAUCAGAAAGCCACGGCUAACUACGUG